ensembl:snRNA U6 U6 spliceosomal RNA
AUGCUCACUUCAGCAGCACAUAUACUAAAACUAGAAUGAUACAGAGAACAUUAGCAUGACCCCUGCACAAGGAUGACACACAACAUCUUAAAAAAAAAAUUCAU